rnacentral:rRNA from 1 species
GGCGCAGGCCUACACAUGCAAGUCGAACGGUAACAGGAAGCAGCUUGCUGCUUUGCUGACGAGUGGCGGACGGGUGAGUAAUGUCUGGGGAUCUGCCUGAUGGAGGGGGAUAACUACUGGAAACGGUAGCUAAUACCGCAUAACGUCGCAAGACCAAAGAGGGGGACCUUCGGGCCUCUUGCCAUCAGAUGAACCCAGAUGGGAUUAGCUAGUAGGUGGGGUAACGGCUCACCUAGGCGACGAUCCCUAGCUGGUCUGAGAGGAUGACCAGCCACACUGGAACUGAGACACGGUCCAGACUCCUACGGGAGGCAGCAGUGGGGAAUAUUGCACAAUGGGCGCAAGCCUGAUGCAGCCAUGCCGCGUGUAUGAAGAAGGCCUUCGGGUUGUAAAGUACUUUCAGCGAGGAGGAAGGUGGUGAGUUUAAUACGCUCAUCAAUUGACGUUACUCGCAGAAGAAGCACCGGCUAACUCCGUGCCAGCAGCCGCGGUAAUACGGAGGGUGCAAGCGUUAAUCGGAAUUACUGGGCGUAAAGCGCACGCAGGCGGUCUGUCAAGUCGGAUGUGAAAUCCCCGGGCUCAACCUGGGAACUGCAUCCGAAACUGGCAGGCUUGAGUCUCGUAGAGGGGGGUAGAAUUCCAGGUGUACCGGUGAAAUGCGUAGAGAUCUGGAGGAAUACCGGUGGCGAAAGCGCCCCCCUGGACAAAAACUGACGCUCAGGUGCGAAAGCGUGUUGAGCAAACAGGAUUACAUACCCUGGUGGUCCACGCCGUAAACGAUGUCGACUUGGAGGUUGUUCCCUUGAGGAGUGCCUUCCGGAGCUAACUCGUUAAGUCCACCGCCUGGGGAGUACCGCCGCGAAGGUUAGAACUCAUAUGAAUUGACGGGGGCCCGCACCACCGGUGGAGCAUGUGGUUUAAUUCUAUGCAACGCGGAGGAGCCUUACCUGGACUUGGCGUCGGCGGAGUUAGCAUAUAUGCUUUGUUGCCUUCGGGAACCCUGAAACAGGUGCUGCAUGACUGUCGUCAACUCCUCUUGUGAAUGUUGGGUUUGUUCCCCCACCGAGCGCACCCUUAUCCUUUGUGGCGGGGAUUCGUCCGGGAAACCCCAAGGAAAAUCCCAGUGAUCACCCGG